rnacentral:lncRNA from 1 species
UUUUUUUUCUUUUUUCUUUUUUUCUUUUUUAUUUUUCAUAUUCAGUCAGCGUUUUCCUCAUCCAAGGCUACAGUAUCAUGCCUCUAUUUUUUAUAUUCAUAUCUUUAUCUCUUAACUUCAUAGAUACAUUUGUUAGGGGUUUUGUUUAUCUUGGGUUAGUAGUAGGUGGCCAAGGCUGGACUUGACAUUUUGCCUGUAGAGAUUGAAGAGGUCAGCUCAGCUGUUAGAAAAUUCCACAGGACCUCCUCCCCUCCUGGGGGGGGGGGGAUAUAGGUCAUAAAGAACAUAGGUACCCCUCCGCUCCAGAAGGGAGGGGCUAAUUACAUUCCUCAGACCACAGGAAGGAGGGACCAACCACCAGAGCUCCAAGACACAUUCCGAGACCGUUGGCCACCCACUUCAUUCCCUAUAGACCAAUCAGUUUAAAAGUCACACUGUUCUGCUAAUCAUAUUUUGCCUAAUGGCGGUGGCCCUGAGAACUGUAUAAAGGCUCCCUGGAUGGGCAGCCCGGCAUCACUCUGCCUAUGUGCAGGGUGACCCCAGCAUGCUGGAUUAAAUAAAAUUCCUCUUGCUUUUGCAUUGAUUCUGGCUCCACGUGGUUCACUAAGGGGAUUCCCGGUAAGCUAAGGCUCAACAGAGUCUUACAAGAUCAUUUGUUUUACAAGCUAAGGGCUCAUGUUUCUUGGUGCAUUAUCAGCCAUACUUGUUGGAAAUCUCCGGGCAGCAAACACACAUGCUUGAGUUUGCCUCUUGCCUAGCUUGGGUCAUUUUUAGCCUAUGUUAUGUUGGAACCACAGUUCUGAGUUGCAGUCACUUUGUACUGACUGAAGGCCAGCUCUGUUCUUGUAUUUCAAAAUUUCCUGGGCUCCCUGGAUGGUGAUGGUGCGUGCUUUUAAUUUCAGUACUUGGGAGGCAGAGACAGGCAGAUCUCUGUGAGUUCUGGCCCAGCUUAGUCUACAAGGUAAGUUCCAGGACAUCAGGGGCUACACAGAAAAUCCCUAUCUUGAAAACAACAAAACAAAAACUACAAAUUUCCAGAUCACCAGACAAAAUCUUGGCUUUUCUGGGUUCCUUGAGUUCUUGUAUGCAUUUGAGAAGCAGGUUGUCUCCAGCUUGUCUCUUUCCUCAAGAAGCCAGCUAGGUGUAUGUCACUUUGGGGUGUCUGACCAUUCAACACCAACUUUGGAAUGUACUUCUGCCACCCACCAUAAAUUUUAUGUCACCAUUUAUUUCGAGCCAGGGUCUCACAUUGUAGCUCAGGCCAACCUAAAACUCACUACGUGGCCCAGGCUGGCUGGCCCACAUCUGCUUCUGACUCCUGAAUACUGGAUUCAAGGGAUAAGCCACAAUUCUUAUUUUUAUUUAUUUUGCCAUAUAAAUAAUACUGAUUAUUCUAAUGAAUAGCAUUUUAUGGCAUUUGAAGAGUAGAUGUAUUUCAUAUUUGUUAUUAAAUUCGUGGCUUUUUGAGGACGUUGCAUAUGGGAUUGUUUCUUCAAACUUAUAUUUAGAUUGCUAUUUCAUAUAUGUAAAACUACAACUGACAGGUUUUUAUGCUGAACUCCCAUAUUCUGAUCUGGCUGACUGCUUACUAAUACGAUUUUUCUUUUUUUCAGUAGAAUCCUUGAGAUUCUGUGUGUGUGUGUGUAAGAGAAAUUUAUUUGACACAGCUUAUAAAAGUUUGAAAUCUUCUAUCAUAGGCUACUGUGUUUCUACAAGAAGCCAGCUUGUAUUUUGGAGCAAAUCAAUGUUUCUUUGGAGGGGAAGUCUGGACAUUCGUCUUCCAGAAAGAAACAGUUGCUACUUUGUAAUUAUUUCCAUCGCUUUUAAAACCAGAUCUUACUCUGUAGCCUAAGCUGGCCUGAAAUUUACAGUCCUCCUAUCUCUGUCUCCUGAACACUGGGCUUAGAGGUCAACUCCGCCCUGUCCAUUGUAAUUACGCUUUUACGAUAUAUAAAGUAUAGUCGACUUUCAGGUGGGAAAACAGUGGAGAAAACAAAGUCUUGCAGAUAAAGUCAGAGGAAAAUGAGCUUGUUUGGUAAAGUCUUGGCUUAAGUAGCAUCACCGUUCCUGGGGGGUGACUGAUGGAAGAAGCAGGCCUUCCUAACACAGCUUAGCUCAAAGUGAAGUAAUGCUGACUAUGCUUGAAAAGGUAAGCAUUGCAUUCGCUUUCCUUUCUGGAAGAGUAAGGGAGCUUAGAAACGCAUGCCUCUGCCUCUCUAAACCCUGUUUCCAGCACUGCCAUCCCGUUGGUGGGCAGUGCAGCUUGCCUCCUCCCUGCGUGGCCUUACUCCACGAAUAGGACUCCAGGAUCUUACUUUUUAUGCCAGGAGAAGCCUUUACCUUUUUCUCACUCCUUUUAAGUCAGUGAUGGGGCUAGGAACAUGCCAGAAAGUUCUCAGCUGUUGAGUUAUAAGCUAAGAAAGCAACGAAAUGGCAGAAAAAAGAAAGCUUUCUCUUCUUUCCUAAGACUUCAGGUUAGGGACUUGAGACGGGGCACAGUGAUUAAGGGCUCUGGUACUGUUCUUCCACAGGACCUGGGUUCCAUUCCCAGAGCCCACAUGGGAGCUCACAGCUAUCUGGACCUCCAGUCCCACAGGAUCCAGUGCCCUCUUCUGGCCUCUGUGGGUACUGCAUGCACAUAAUACACAAAAUACUCAUGCACAUGAAAUUUUAAAAAAAUGUAAAAAAGCAAACAAACAAAAACACCUUUAGCUUAGCUCUAGAGAAUUCUGGAAAGGUAUGGAUAUAGUGAGAGCUUAGCUUGGUCAUAGGAAAGUCCCGAGUUUUAACUCCUGGAGUCUCUAUGAUAAAGGUCAUUUGCCUUUGAAAGGCAAAAUGUGGAGCUUAGCCAGGCAUGGAUGUUGCUUUGUUUCUUAGUUUCCCAUUUUUUAGCUGCUAGUUGAGGCACACUCUUCUGGUUGUCUCAGAAGGCGCAGGACACUUCUUAAACACUAAAAAAAAGAUACUGUCUGGGGCAGCAUGUUCUUGUUUUCUAAAGUAAGGGAUGGGUACCACUGAGGGAUGAGCACCACAGAGGGAUGAGCACUACAGAGGGAUGAGCACCACAGAGGGAUGAGCACCACUGAGGGAUGAGCACUACUAACUGUUGUGAUAUUUUUUCACUUAUAGCGAUUUCUUCAGUUCGUAAACCUGAAGGCAAAAAUUUUAUAAAAUGAGUGUGUCCCCAAGCCCUUUGUUGAAACAGAACAAAAAGUUCAGAUUUAUGACCCCCCCCAAAAAUUUUGGGGAAAAUAUGUGUGUUUUUUAGUAUGACAUUAAUUUUUGAAGGUUUUGUAGCAGUUCAUUGGCUGGGACAAUAAAUAGAAAUGUCCUUCUGUGCUCUGGACGUCACUGGCUGUGGCCCGUCUACUGGCUUGACAAUUUCCUGGGUAAGUGACAAUCCUGGUAGAAAGGUCAGAGAGUGACUGAAAUGUAGAAGCUGUGCCACCUGGCAAACGACUCUAGGCCUUGCCUACCCCACCCUCUACACAGCAAGGGGCUCUAUGCUCUUCCUCCCUUCUGGAAAUGCAGCAUUGAGUCUUAGGAAUUUAAAUUGAAUAGUACUUACCCCUGGCAGGUUAUGGAAAUACCUCGGGUAUCUGGAGCAGGAUCUAUCAGUCUUAGGGUGGCUUUGGACUCAUAUACUGUGUCUGAACCUUUGAUUUGCCUCAGAAGAAGUGAACUUUGCUUUCUGCUUCAGAACUCCUGUGAAAGUUGUUGUUAACUGCACCCCCAACCCCCUCCUUCCCGGACAAACUUAGGGCCCACAUCAAAG